AUUUGCACUAUUUGUACAAAAAAAUAAAAUGAAUUGUUUAAAUAUAUAUUUUUAAUAUUGUCGAUUACAUAAAUGAAUUUGGUUUUAACAAGGUUUAGGUUUUGGAUGGCCUCAACCUGAUUUGCUUGGCAUGGUUCAAGGAUAAAAAUGAACCUUGUAAAAUAGUUGUCUAAAAACACUCAAGUUCCAUUUUUAAUCAGACCAAAAUCUGUACACCUUAACCGGAGACAUCCUGGAGAGGAGAAAAAUACAGCAUAUGGGAAAAUCACAUGUCCUUCCAAUGGAGAGCCAAACCUUUGCACGGACAGUAUCCUACUGAUGGAAAUGAUCUAGAAAAUGGAAAUAGAAAUGAUGAAGAAAUCAUUCACUUGGCCAACGGAGGGUAGUCUUGUCCAGAGGCCGAGGUAUUUUUUAUUGCCAACCAAGACCAACUUGUACCUACCAAGUACUACCCAAAGUGCAUUGUAGGAGAUCGAAGGUGAAAAUUGCAGGGUCUGCAAGCAAUUUCUGAUGAUUUUUGGAGGCCCUGAACUGGCAUAAAAACAAGGAGAAAUAUGGAAAAGAAUAAAGGUCCAAGCAUAGAGCCUUGGGGUAUACACAUUGAAAUUGAGAUAGAAGAGUAGAAUAUGAAGCAUUCAUUCUCUGUGUAGUAGAAGUAGAAGAACUAAAAAAAUGCAUCAGUUUCCAAAUAAGCAAAUUAUAUUAAUAAAUUUAAAUUGAUAAUUUA